GACGAACGCUGGCGGCGUGCCUAAUACAUGCAAGUCGAGCGGAAGUUGGAGAGCUUGCUCUUCAACUUUAGCGGCGGACGGGUGAGUAACACGUGGGCAACCUGCCCUGCAGAUCGGGAUAACUCCGGGAAACCGGUGCUAAUACCGAAUAGUUUUCGCCACCUCCUGGUGGCGUACGGAAAGACGGUUUCGGUUGUCACUGCAGGAUGGGCCCGCGGCGCAUUAGCUAGUUGGUGGGGUAACGGCCCACCAAGGCAACGAUGCGUAGCCGACCUAAGAGGGUGAUCGGCCACACUGGGACUGAGACACGGCCCAGACUCCUACGGGAGGCAGCAGUAGGGAAUCUUCCGCAAUGGACGAAAGUCUGACGGAGCAACGCCGCGUGAGUGACGAAGGUUUUCGGAUCGUAAAACUCUGUUGUGAGGGAAGAACAAGUACCAAUUAACUACUGGUACCUUGACGGUACCUCACCAGAAAGCCACGGCUAACUACGUGCCAGCCGCCGCAGUAA
rnacentral:rRNA from 1 species